CAGGUACUCCCUCCGUCCGAAAAUACUUGUCAUCAAAAUGGAUAAAAGAGGAUGUAUCUAGAUGUAUUUUAGUUCUAGACACACCUUUUUUUAUCCAUUUUGAUGACAAGUAUUUUCGGACGGAGGGAGUAGUUG
rnacentral:pre_miRNA from 1 species